rnacentral:misc_RNA from 1 species
AAGUCGUAACAAGGUCUCCGUUGGUGAACCAGCGGAGGGAUCAUUAUAGAGUUAUUACAACUCCAAACCCAUGUGAACAUACCUAUUGUUGCCUCGGCAGGUCGCAGACUGUUGGGAAAGGCCCCUACCCCUAGCGCGGGGGCCUACCCGGGAGCUGCGGUCAAAGCCUGCCGAUGGCCCGCAAAACUCUGUUUAGCAUUGAAAUUCUGAAUCGUAACUAAAUAAGUUAAAACUUUCAACAACGGAUCUCUUGGUUCUG